UAAUGCCUACGGGGGGCAGCAGUGGGGAAUAUUGGGCAAUGGGCGCAAGCCUGACCCAGCAACGCCGCGUGAAGGAAGAAGGCUUUCGGGUUGUAAACUUCUUUUCUCAGGGGCGAAGCAAGUGGCGGUACCUGAGGAAUAAGCCACGGCUAACUACGUGCCAGCAGCCGCGGUAAUACGUAGGUGGCAAGCGUUAUCCGGAUUUACUGGGUGUAAAGGGCGUGUAGGCGGGGAAGCAAGUC
rnacentral:rRNA from 1 species